rnacentral:rRNA from 1 species
GUCCUUUUGCUUUUAAUAUAAGGUCUAACCUGCCCAAUGAUUAAAAUUUAAUGGCCGCGGUAUUUUAACUGUGCUAAGGUAGCAUAAUCAUUUGUCUUUUAAUUGAAGGCUAGAAUGAAUGGUUGGACGAGAUACAAGCUUUCUUUAAUUUAAUUUAAUGAACUUAAUUUUUUAGUUAAAAAGCUAAAAUUUCUAUGAGGGACGAGAAGACCCUAUAGAUCUUUAUAUUGAUGGCUUUCAUUUAAUUUAGUGAAUUAAUUAAUAUAAUAGUUAUUAAUAUUUGGCUGGGGUGACUGUAGAAUUUAAAUUAACUUCUAUUUUUAUUUUUCAUUAAUUCGUGUUUGGUUGAUCCAAUAUUAUUGAUUAUAAGAUUAAGUUACCUUAGGGAUAACAGCGUAAUUUCUACGGAGAGUUCAUAUCGAUGUAGGAGUUUGCGACCUCGAUGUUGGAUUAAAAUAAGUUUUAGGUGUAGGAGCUUAAAAACUAGGUCUGUUCGACCUUUAAUUUUUU